rnacentral:rRNA from 1 species
AUUGAACGCUGGCGGAAUGCUUUACACAUGCAAGUCGAACGGCAGCACGGACUUCGGUCUGGUGGCGAGUGGCGAACGGGUGAGUAAUGUAUCGGAACGUGCCCAGUCGUGGGGGAUAACGUAGUGAAAAUUACGCUAAUACCGCAUACGAUCUAUGGAUGAAAGCGGGGGAUCGCAAGACCUCGCGCGAUUGGAGCGGCCGAUAUCAGAUGAGGUAGUUGGUGGGGUAAAGGCCCACCAAGCCAACGAUCUGUAGCUGGUCUGAGAGGACGACCAGCCACACUGGAACUGAGACACGGUGCAGACUCCUACGGGAGGCAGCAGUGGGGAAUUUUGGACAAUGGGCGAAGGCCUGAUCCAGCCAUUCCGCGUGCAGGAUGAAGGCCCUCGGGUUGUAAACUGCUUUUGUACAGAACGAAAAGGUUUCUACUAAUACUAGGAGCUCAUGACGGUACUGUAAGAAUAAGCACCGGCUAACUACGUGCCAGCAGCCGCGGUAA